rnacentral:rRNA from 1 species
CUUCGGGGUGAAGAUAAGAUGGAUUAGCGGCGGACGGGUGAGUAACACGUGAGUAACCUGCCUUAGACAUUGGGAUAGCCUCGGGAAACCGGGAUUAAUACCAAAUGAAAUCAUAGGUGCCCAUGCACUAAUGAUCAAAACUCCGGUGGUCUAAGAUGGACUCGCGUCCCAUUAGCUAGUUGGUGAGGUAACGGCCCACCAAGGCGACGAUGGGUAGCCGGCCUGAGAGGGUGAACGGCCACAUUGGAACUGAGAAACGGUCCAAACUCCUACGGGAGGCAGCAGUGGGGAAUAUUGCACAAUGGAGGGAACUCUGAUGCAGCGACGCCGCGUGAACGAUGAAGGCUUUCGAGUCGUAAAGUUCUUUUAUAUGGGAAGAUAAUGACGGUACCAUAAGAAAAAGCCCCGGCUAACUACGUGCCAGCAGCCGCGGUAAUACGUAGGGGGCUAGCGUUGUCCGGAAUCACUGGGCGUAAAGGGUUCGCAGGCGGAAAUGCAAGUCAGAUGUAAAAGGCAGUAGCUUAACUACUGUAAGCAUUUGAAACUGCAUAUCUUGAGAAGAGUAGAGGUAAGUGGAAUUUUUAGUGUAGCGGUGAAAUGCGUAGAUAUUAAAAAGAAUACCGGUGGCGAAGGCGACUUACUGGGCUCAUUCUGACGCUGAGGAACGAAAGCGUGGGUAGCAAACAGGAUUAGAUACCCUGGUAGUCCACGCUGUAAACGAUGAGUGCUAGGUAUCGGAAUAAUUCGGUGCCGCAGUUAACACAUUAAGCACUCCGCCUGGGGAGUACGUGCGCAAGCAUGAAACUCAAAGGAAUUGACGGGGACCCGCACAAGCAGCGGAGCAUGUGGUUUAAUUCGAAGCAACGCGAAGAACCUUACCAGGGCUUGACAUACUGAGGACCGGUAUAGAGAUAUACCCUCUUCUUCGGAAGCCUCAAUACAGGUGGUGCAUGGUUGUCGUCAGCUCGUGUCGUGAGAUGUUCAGUUAAGUCUGGCAACGAGCGCAACCCCUAUCUUUAGUUACCAGCAUUUCGGAUGGGGACUCUAAAGAGACUGCCGAUGAUAAAUCGGAGGAAGGUGGGGAUGACGUCAAAUCAUCAUGCCCUAUAUGCCCUGGGCUACACACGUGCUACAAUGGAAGAUACAAAGGGA